rnacentral:rRNA from 1 species
UACGGGGGGGGCAAGCGUUGUUCGGAAUUACUGGGCGUAAAGGGCUCGUAGGUGGCCAACUAAGUCAGACGUGAAAUCCCUCGGCUUAACCGGGGAACUGCGUCUGAUACUGGAUGGCUUGAGAUCGGUAGAGGGCGGUGGAAUUUCCGGUGUAGCGGUGAAAUGCGUAGAUAUCGGAAGGAACACCAGUGGCGAAGGCGGCUCACUGGACUGGUAUUGACGCUGAGGUGCGAAAGCGUGGGGAGCAAACAGG